AAGGUGCCCCAUUGCAGAUGGGAGAAAAAGGCCGCUUUGGCUGUGUGUUGUCCGCGCGGCUGGCAGGAAGCCAAUGCGUUCUUGAAAGCUGAAGGCUCCAGCUACCUCUCUUACCACCGUCAUGGGGGUCCCAGGUUGCAGCAAGGACAGUGUUAGAGCAGGCAGUAAAAUAUGUGGCUACCCUGGUCACCUGACUUUUGAAUGCUGCAAUUUUCUCCGAGUAGACCCCAAAAGGGACAUAGUUUUGGAUGUCAGCAGUACAAGCAGUGAAGAUAGUGAUGAAGGGAAUGAGGAACUGAAUAAAUUGCAGGCAUUGCAGGAAAAAAGAAUAAAUGAAGAAGAGGAAAAGAAAAAAGAGAAAAUCAAAUUAAAAAGAAAAAAGGAAAAGGUCUUAUUCAUCCAGUUCCACUGAAGAAGAUACUUCAAAACAAAAGAAACAAAAAUAUCAGAAGAAAGAAAAGAAAAAAGAAAAAAAAGAGUAAAUCAAAAAAGGAGAAACAUCACAAAAAGGAAAAAAAGAAGAGAAAAAAGGAAAAGCAUUCUUCUACCCCUAAUAGUUCAGAAUUCUCCAAAAAGUAA